UUCUAGAUUUUAAAUAAAACUAGAGUUAAAUGUCCAUUAAGUUCUGUGUUUGUUAUUCUAGACCACCUUAUGGAACUGUGAGAAGAUAAUGAACUGUACCCACCCUUGCCCAUUUUACCAUGUGAUUCUGUUUAUGGUCCAUAUUACCUAUAGCUAUUUGAGUCUGUAUUGAUUCAUUCAUCAAACAACUUAAUCAUGAAAAAAAAAGCCAUUUCAAAUAACAUUCCUCAAAAGACUUAACCAGGAAAGAUAUUUGAUCCAAGGGCAAGACAGGCCCAAUCAGAAGUUGUGUUUUGCAGGAGCCUUUUCCACUUUGCCAGAUGCUGAAGUCUGAAAUGUCUCCUGUCCGCCUCCAUUACCAGGGCCAUUUGCUUGUUCCCUGAGCAUAUGUGGGCAUUCACAGGGGGCACACAAUUGUCAAAAACCUGUGGGGCUACCUUGGCAGCAGAGAAGCUAAUACCAGCUACUUAGGAAUUUUAUACUGCUUUAUGAAAUGCUUCACCAGUGUGAUUUAACUUUGCAAAGGACUAGGUGUAGAGAGAACUCAACGGAGACCCAUUCUUUGGCAGUAUUUGUAUUUCAUAGGAACCAUAUAUAUAAAUUUCCCAUUUUUGUAGUAAUAUGGCUUUAAUCUUAAUGAAUACCAUUUUGGUGCUUUUCUUCAGAGAUUAGAAUUAACAUUCACAAGUGAACAGAAAAUGUUAAAGUAUUAUUAGUCUCCUGAGGAUUUUGCUUCUGGCAAUGCAGUUUUAGAGAUUUCAUCUUGGUUUAGGUGUAGGAAAAUACCACCAUUUCUGCUUGUUAGAAUGAAACUCUCCAAGGUUUCUAUUUCAGUCCAGGGUUUGGUUUUUCAAAGCAGAAAAAAAUGUUUUUCCUGGACCCUGACUAUAACCUGAAGUCAAAAAUCAAUUGAAAAACCAGCAAAAAUUGGUCAUGAGUGCUGUUAGAAAUUUUAUUGGUAACAGUUUUCUGGUCAUUACUAACACAUUUCUUAAUUAACUGCCUAGGUUGUUAAUAUGGUUUGUGUAAUUUUAGAAACUAUUUGUUUAUCUGUUGUUUAUAUCUUGUUUCACUUCACAAAGAGUGUAAGUUGACAAACCCUAUUUUGUACUAAUGACAACUUGGCUUUGAGUCAUUAAAAAAAAGUGGGUUUGA